AUUGAACGCUGGCGGCAGGCCUAACACAUGCAAGUCGAACGAGGGGCGGACGGGUGAGUAAUUGCUGGGAAACUGCCCGAUGGAGGGGGAUAACAACUGGAAACGGUAGCUAAUAGCGCAUACCAUCGGAUGUGCCCAGAUGGGAUUAGCUAGUAGGUGGGGUAACGGCUCACCUAGGCGACGAGCCAUAGCUGGUCUGAGAGGAUCACCAGCCAGCGUGGUCAUGAGACACGGUGCAAACUCAUACGGGAGGAAGCAGUGGGAAGUAUUGCGAACAAGGCGCAAGCCUGAUGCCGCGAUGCCGGUCGUAUGAGGAAGGCAUUCGGGUUGUAAAGUACUUUCAGCGAGGCGGCGUUACUCGCAGAAGAAGCAACGGAUAACUCCGUGGCAGCGGCCGGGGUAAUAC
rnacentral:rRNA from 1 species